GAUGAAGAACGUAGCGAAAUGCGAUAAGUAAUGUGAAUUGCAGAAUUCAGUGAAUCAUCGAAUCUUUGAACGCACCUUGCGCCUUUUGGUAUUCCGAAAGGCACACCUGUUUGGGCGUCAUGAAUACCUCAAUCUCCAUCUUUUCUUCGGAUUGAUGGGCGACUUGGAUGUUGAGCCCUGCUGGUAUGCUAUAUCAGCUGGCUUUAAACUUAUUAGCCGGCUCUGUACUGGAUCGGUUUGACUCGACGUGAUAAUAUUAUCGUUGAGGAUGCAUGUCUCAUGCAGCCGGAAAGUAUCAAAGCAGCUUCUAGCUUGCCUUUAGUGCACUUUUACAUUUUAGACCUCAGAUCAGGUGGGACUACCCGCUGAACUUAAGCAUAUCAAUAAGCGGAGGA
rnacentral:misc_RNA from 1 species